UCCCAAAGUGCUGGGAUUACAGGCUUGAGCCACUGUGCCCGGCCGGAAUCUGAAUGUUUAAUCAACACCCAGGUGGCACCAGAGAUCAAGCACAAUUGGAAAAUUAUACUUCUGGCAAACGUGUAUACUGCAGAAAGUUCCGUGGAAAAGUCCACACCCCAAGUCCUCUCAGUGUACGCCCUGAGUCCCUGUGGGGUUCCCAGCCCUUGCCAAGGGAGGUGGGAGGCUCCUAGGGAAGGAGCAGUCCCUGCCAGGAGGGACAGAGCCCCCACUGGGGAUGGGGAGUGGGGGCCACCUGGGGAGGAGGCUGCAGGCGUCAUGCCUGCUCAUUCCAGCAGGAGCCUGUGUGUGCCCACCAAGACCCCUCAUCCAGAGAAGGGCAGACAGAGCUCUGGUGUUUCUGGAGGGAGAAUGAGGAGCCCCAAAAGGCAAAUCCAGGAGCUUGACCCAACUCAGGGCAGAAGCUAAGGGCUAUCCAGGAGCCCAGGGAACAGAAGGAAGGGGUGAGCACCAGUGAUGGCAGUGGCUGCUCCAAGAUGGUCUGCGAUUGCCAUCAUGCAGACUGCAGCAGGGAGGCACGGCCAGGGCUGCACGCUCCAUGGAGCAGGCCGGAGCCCCACCCUCCUAGGUGGAGCCGCAACUGCCCAAACUGUGGCUGCAGAUCCGAGCAUCCCUGUGCUUUUGUGGGGACAGGAGCAGGCGAGAGCCCUACCCUCCCAGGCACAGCUGCAGCCACUGCAGACACAGGAAUUUCUGCAUUCAGGGCCCUGGGAAGGCUCCCCUUGCUCUCGCAGUCUUGGAAGUGCCUUCUCCCACUGCCUGGCUUUUCCCUGCUGUCGGUGCCUGCUUUGAUCUCAAAGCAAAGUCAGGGCCAAGCCCUGGCACCAUGAAUGGCAGCAGGAGGCGGGCACAUUCCUGGAGGAAGGGGACAGGUCCCCAGUGAGGCUCGCAUCACGUUUUCUAUGUUAAAACAAACGCUCUGUGUCUCAACAGAAGUCCCCUCCAGGACCAGGAGAGCUGAGGUCAGGCUGCCCAGCACGUCCAGCUGCACCUUGACCAAAACUCCAGGCUGCCUGAGCCUGACAGUGGGCCGAGAGCGGAGGUGAUGAGGGCCAGAUGCACUGAGUGAGGCUGAGGCAGGGGCGAGCCCCCAUCUCUGCAGACGAGGACCUGGGGUCCAGGCAAGGGCCCAACACCGAGCACUCAACUGCCUGCGCAGCGGGGGCUUCCUGUGGCUGCACCAUGGACAUUCAGGGCAGGAUCAUCCUCUGCGGUGGGGACCGUCUGUGCCCGGUAGGAUGUUCAGCAGCGCCUCCGGCCUCUGCCCACUAGACGCUUUUAGCACACAGCAUCCCCUGAGGUAUGACAACCAAAAGUAUCCCCAGACAUUGCCAAAUGUCUCCCGGGGGGCAGAAUUGGCUCCAGUUGAGAACCACUGGUCUAAGAUAUGAGCUUUGGACUUUUUGGUGUGGAGGAUCCAGAUUCUAUUCAUCCUAUUUCGUGGACACCCCCAGGACAGGGCCUGGCUGGCUGAGCCACAGGCACAUCUGAGCUCCUGCUUGCAGGAAUCAGAACAGCCCAAAUAAAUAAUUUCCUUUUAAGCAAA